UACAGAGGUCCCAAGCGUUGUUCGGAUUCAUUGGGCGUAAAGGGUGCGUAGGCGGCGGGGUAAGUCGGGUGUGAAAUCUCGGGGCUUAACUCCGAAACUGCAUUCGAUACUACCGUGCUUGAGGACUGGAGAGGAGACUGGAAUUUACGGUGUAGCGGUGAAAUGCGUAGAUAUCGUAAGGAAGACCAGUGGCGAAGGCGGGUCUCUGGACAGUUCCUGACGCUGAGGCACGAAGGCCAGGGGAGCAAACGGG
rnacentral:rRNA from 1 species